CAGCCUUGACAGUAACAGCGAAGGCUCAAGUAACAGCAUCUUGAAAUGUUUUUUCCGUCUCUAGAAUCAUUGACUCCUGCUAUACAAGUGUGUGAAAAAACUGAACCAGAAUAUGACUACAUUCCGUUUGCUAACGUGAGAAUGAGAAGGCCUCUGGAGAAGGAAAUGGAAGGAGAGCCAGUGCUGUACACUUUUGAAGAUGAAAAACCAACACGCUUGGGCAGAGGACACCUCAUCAUUUUUGCUGUUAUGCUGCUUUUAUCCUUGGUAAUAGCGAAAUCUGCUCUCGUGAUGGCGUGUCUUAGAUGAUCUUCUAAGAUAUAAAGUGCUUCCUGAAACUGAUGUCUGGAUUGGGUUAACUUACAUAGAGAAAGAAAAAAAGUGGAAGUGGGUGGAUGGCACAGAUUUAUCCUAUGAGUAAGUAUUUUUUUUAGUGAAUCAUCUUGUUGUU
rnacentral:lncRNA from 1 species